rnacentral:rRNA from 1 species
GAUUAGAGUUUGAUCAUGGCUCAGAAUGAACGCUGGCGGCAUGCCUAACACAUGCAAGUCGAACGAAGGCUUCGGCCUUAGUGGCGCACGGGUGCGUAACGCGUGGGAAUCUGCCCUCAGGUUCGGAAUAACAGCGAGAAAUUGCUGCUAAUACCGGAUGAUAUCGCGAGAUCAAAGAUUUAUCGCCUGAGGAUGAGCUCGCGUAGGAUUAGCUAGUUGGUGUGGUAAAGGCGCACCAAGGCGACGAUCCUUAGCUGGUCUGAGAGGAUGAUCAGCCACACUGGGACUGAGACACGGCCCAGACUCCUACGGGAGGCAGCAGUGGGGAAUAUUGCACAAUGGGGGAAACCCUGAUGCAGCCAUGCCGCGUGUGUGAAGAAGGCCUUCGGGUUGUAAAGCACUUUCAGCGAGGAGGAAAGGUUGGUAGCUAAUAACUGCCAGCUGUGACGUUACUCGCAGAAGAAGCACCGGCUAACUCCGUGCCAGCAGCCGCGGUAAUAAU